rnacentral:lncRNA from 1 species
AUGGCGACCGAGUCUCUGGUAGCAGAAGCUGAUGAGAAGUUCUCAGAGUGCCUUCCUAGGGUCAUGGGAAAAGCACAACAGCAGCUCUUCAAAGUACAAUUUGUUCAAAAGCAUCAUUCACUGAACGUCUAA